AAAAGGCAAAGCGAUUCCCUCAUUCGGUCUCAUUCUUCCGCGGUGAUCCUCUGAGUAGCCAGGUCGAGUCUUUCAAUUAUCUUAGGCUAAUGUGGAACAGCAGAUCCUGAGUCUCAAGUGUUAAAAAUAAACACCAGGACUCUGCUGUUGGUCUGAAUCAUCUCCAAGGGUCAUGUGCUCUGCAGUUCAACUUGAAGGUUGCCUAAAAAGGUGGAUCAAGCUGUAUGGAGAUGGCGUCAGUUGACUUGAGGUUCCCCAAGAAGAUUGAAAAUGUAUGAAGACUCCAGCUGAUAUGCAAGAUGUCUGCAUGUGGCCAAUCGUUUCAGAUUUUCUGACUUAAAAUGGAGAUGAAUGACCCGUCAUUAAAGUAGUCUUCAUGGACUCCCAUCCAGUAUCUUCAUGACUGCCAUCCUUGUGUCUUGUUGACAGGUACAGUGGCCAGCUCUCCAUAGUGCAAUAUGAAGAAUGUUACUUGGAGGUGUCCAAAGGGCUUCAGCCUCUGCAGUUUUGAAAAGGGAUGAAGUUGAGUUCAUCUGGUUGACUUUUUGGGUGAAGUUUCAGUUGCCCCUCCCUUUGUUCAAAGGGCCUCAUCCUCUGUAAAAGGUGCGACUUUGCCAUGUGAUUAGUCUGUCUUGUAACCUGUGACGACAUGAUUCUGCCAAAUGAAUCUAAUGAUUAUACCCCAACCGUUCCAUAUUUCUGAGGUUAACUUAGACUUACUUAAAACCUUGAAGUUUUAUACAUUGUUGUAAAUCUCUCCCUUUUUCC